rnacentral:lncRNA from 13 species
GUGUGUGUGUGAUUAUGCGCCAGUGUGUGUGUGUGUGAAUAUGCGCCAGUGUGUAUGUGUGUGAGUAUGCACCAGUGUGUGUUUGAGUAUGCACCAGUGUGUGUGUGAGUAUGCAGCCGUGUGUGUGUGUGUCUGUGCUCUGGGUGUUGAUGGAGAUUUGGUCUCCCCCGGGCCGAACACACUCUAUUGGAAUUGACAUGCUGUCACCUUUAAUCAAUGUUCCCAAUGUCCCCAUCCCCCUGGUUCUCUCUCUCUCUCUCUCUGUGUGUGUGUGUGUGUGUGUGUGUGUGUGUGUGUGUGUAAAAGGGAAUUUUCUGAAUGUAAUGUCUCUUAGUCUGCCAGGACAUUCUAAAUGACCUCCCAUUCCAGUCUAUACCAGUACUGCUGCAAGCCUUUCCAGACUCACGUUUCCUCUCUUCACACUCUGCAGUGUUUUUAACUUUGUUCGUUAUUAGUUAGUUCAUUUUCAUAUUUCUUUGCACAUUUGUAUAUAAUGCCGGUUGUGGUUUUAGUAAAACAGUCAGUCUACUCUUCAGUACCUCAAGGGGUUUGGUUGUGACAUCAGCAAGGCACAGUUCACCCUUAGGCUUUGGUUCAGCUAUCUCUUACCAUUUGUCACUACUGACUAUUCAUGCUUCACUAGCAUAGCAUGAUUAUCCCAUGUUAAACACCAUGCCAUGUGGACCUUAGGUUAGGUUAGAUUACUCGUUGGUUAUUACUGCAUUGUUGGAACUAGAAGCACAAGCAUUUCGCAUUAACAUCUGCUAACCAUGUGUAUGUGACAAAUACAUUUUGAUUUGAACACUGUUAUUGUCUUUUUGAACACUGUUAUUGUCUUUUUGAACACUGUUAUUGUCUUUUUGAACAAUGUUAUUGUCUUUUUGAACAAUGUUACUGUCUUUUUGAACAAUGUUAUUGUCUUUUUGAACAAUGUUGUUGUCCUUUUGAACAAUGUUGUUGUCCUUUUGAACACUGUUAUUUUCCUCCUUUUGGGACACUGUUGUUGUCGUCCUUUUGGACACUGUUGUUGUCGUCCUUUUGGACACUGUUGUUGUCCUCCUUUUGGACACCGUUGUUGUCCUCCUUUUGGACAUUGUUGUUGUUCUCCUUUUGGACAUUGUUGUUGUCCUCCUUUUGGAACACUGUUAUUGUCCUUUUGAACACUGUUAUUGUCCUCCUUUUGGGACACUGUUGUUGUCCUCCUUUUGGGACACUGUUGUUGUCCUCCUUUUNNNNNNNNNNGUCUUUUUGAACAAUGUUACUGUCUUUUUGAACAAUGUUAUUGUCUUUUUGAACAAUGUUGUUGUCCUUUUGAACAAUGUUGUUGUCCUUUUGAACACUGUUAUUUUCCUCCUUUUGGGACACUGUUGUUGUCGUCCUUUUGGACACUGUUGUUGUCGUCCUUUUGGACACUGUUGUUGUCCUCCUUUUGGACACUAUUAUUGUCCUUUUGGAAGCCUGUUGUCCUCCUUUUGGAACACUGUAAUUGUCCUCCUUUUGGACACUUAUUGUCCUCCUUUUUGGACACUGUUGUUGUCCUCCUUUUGGGACACUGUUGUUGUCCUCCUUUUGGGACACUGUUGUUGUCCUCCUUUUGGGACACUGUUGUUGUCCUCCUUUUGGGACACUGUUGUUGUCCUCCUUUUGGGACACUAUUGUUGUCCUCCUUUUGGGACACUGUUGUCCUCCUUUUGGGACACUAUUGUUGUCCUCCUUUUGGGACACUGUUGUUGUCCUUUUGGAACACUUUUGUUGUCCUCUUGGAAGACUGUUAUUGUCCUUUUAGAACAUUGUUGUUGUACUCCUUUUGGGACAAUGUUGUUGUACUUCUUUUGGGACACUGUUGUUGUCCUCCUUUUGGACACUGUUGUUGUCCUCCUUUUGGGACACUGUUGUUGUCCUCCUUUUGGGACACUGUUGUUGUCCUCCUUUUGGGACACUGUUGUUGUCCUCCUUUUGGGACACUGUUGUUGUCCUCCUUUUGGGACACUAUUGUUGUCCUCCUUUUGGGACACUGUUGUCCUCCUUUUGGGACACUAUUGUUGUCCUCCUUUUGGGACACUGUUGUUGUCCUUUUGGAACACUUUUGUUGUCCUCUUGGAAGACUGUUAUUGUCCUUUUAGAACAUUGUUGUUGUACUCCUUUUGGGACAAUGUUGUUGUACUUCUUUUGGGACACUGUUGUUGUCCUCCUUUUGGACACUAUUAUUGUCCUUUUGGAAGCCUGUUGUNNNNNNNNNNNNNNNNNNNNNNNNNNNNNNNNNNNNNNNNNNNNNNNNNNNNNNNNNNNNNNNNNNNNNNNNNNNNNNNNNNNNNNNNNNNNNNNNNNNNNNNNNNNNNNNNNNNNNNNNNNNNNNNNNNNNNNNNNNNNNNNNNNNNNNNNNNNNNNNNNNNNNAUGUUCAAGCCAUAAGGCUGUCUAGUCUGGGACCAGAAUGCUCCUGAACAUGUUCAAGCCAUAAAGCUGCUUUAUUUCAUUCUUAUUUUUUGCACUGACUCUCUUGCACAGGUUCGAUGUACACUCACUGGACUCUAACCACACACUCACACAUACUACACUGACACUCCAACACACACAAACACACAACGUGCACACACAUACAUAUUGAUGCCACAGACACACACACAAACACACACAUACAUUCACACUUCACAUGCUGCAGCUACUCGCUGUUUAUUAUCUAUGCGUAAUAACUUUUAGCGAACAUGGUAAUAUCGACCUUGUACCCCUGCACAUUGACUCGGUGCUGGUACCCUGUGUAUUUAGCCACGUUAUCAUUACUCAUUGUAUUUAUUCCUCGUGUUAUUACUUUUUCAAAAUAAAUCUUUCUGCAUUGUUGGAAGGGCCUUUAAGCGUGUCACUGUUAGUCUACACCUGUUGUUUGCAAAGCAUAUGACAAAUCAAAUUUGGUUUGAAAUCGCUACACUAUAUAAAAACCACAAACUUGUUAGUUUUUUUAUUACCUCCAAGUAAACACAACAGCCUGCGGUGGAAAUGAAAGGAGUAGAACCAGAUGUGUUGUGGUGUUACACAAGGAAAGGAGACUUUAGUUGUCGUCAAGUUGUGUUCCACCCCAUCAGCAGGAGCCUCAGAACAUCAGCUGGUGGAGAGAUGAAUAGGGAGCUCUUGUCAUCCUGUCCCUCACACGUGUGUGUGUGUGGCUGUUGUCAUGCGCGCAUGUGUGUGUUUUCGUGUGUGUUUGUGCGUCCAUAGCGUCGACCAUAGUGUUUGAUUUGUGGCCCCAAGCGGAACACUCUUCUCUUAAUGAGCCUCCUGCCCUCCCGACAGAGGCCCAACCUUGGAGAGGAGCUGACCUGGUUUCCACACCGGAAACACUCUAGAGGAUGGUGAAGAGAGGGAGAGAGGUUGUCCCACAGGGGAUUGGUGUUGCUGUUAGAUAACAGACCCAUGUUUCUCCGGUCUAGGGGUUGUUUGUUCUAAACCGUAUUUCCCUUUGGCAUCAAAACAGGCCCUGAAUCAAGUACUGGGAGUCAUUUAGGAGUGUAAAUGAAUUGUUCUGUUGGAGUUGGCAGUGAUUAAAUUAGUAGUUUGAUGUCUGGUUUGGGUUUGUUUUGAGUAUGUUAGAUGUUUGAUCAUGUGACAUAUAAUAAGGAACUGGCAUGCUUAGCUGGAGGUUUAGACAUGAGAAAUGUCCUUUUUGCUGUGGUCUUCAGUCAGACAGGGGACUGUAUAUUAUUUCAUUUGUCCUACAAGUAGAUCCCCAAUUUAACGAGAAAGACCUCAUAUUAAUGAUAUCAUUAUAUUACACAUAAGAACAGGGAGUGUUCUGUCAUGCUUCACCCUAAUCAUGUGACCUUCCCCCCCUCAGAUCUGGGCCAACUAUGAGGAGAAGAAGGUGGAGGAGGUGGUGCACGUGAUGGAGGAGAAAGAGCGCACAGCCAACUACAGAGCUGUAUAUGUCACUGAGAUCACGGACACCAUGCACUUCUACACCCAGGAUGUGGAGACAG